CAUUGCACAGGUUCCUCGGAUCAAUGCGUGUAUAGCAACUCGAUCCGCGUUCUUGUUAACCUGAACGGAACUGCAUUAGUUCGGUUGCAGAGGCGUGGACGUGCAAUCGGCAACAUGAAGUACGUGAAAGGAAUCGACCAGAGGAUGAAGGGAAGGAAGGAGCAGGCGACGAUGGGGAAAUACGGACGAAUAAACAAGAAGAAGAAGGGAACAGCUAAAGGACCGUUCAUGAGGAACCCAAACCUUCGAUCCCUCUUGAUCAGGGACGGGAAUUAUGUGACCCUGAAACCUGCGUCCUCACUUGACCUUGACCUGUGAAGCAGUCUUGUGGGAAGGAGAUCGGUCAACACCCCGGUGGAUGAAGAUUUUUUUUUUGGGGGGGUCAUAUAAUCUUGAUUUUUUCUUCUAUUUCUUUCUUUCUUUUUUGGGUAAUUUGUCACAUCUAUCACAAAUAUGUCGCUUCGUUUUGAGAGGGACAUAUACCAUCACCCGAUCUCGGUUUAUCGAAGUCCCGUUUUAAUUAAGAGAAUACUAAGCUCGCGGGAUGUGUUAGUUCUGACGUAAUCUCAGAUGUUCAUUCCGACUUAAUUGAUCUGACACUCGAUUCCAAGCAGUCUGGCAGACACCGAGAGCCUCAGACACCAAGAGCCACAACAUGAAAUACGGCUUCGUCAAUAAAUCGAUUAAAUUGAUCGCCUUCUUGAUUAAGUGGUUCGGGAUCCUUUGCACAGAGAGUUUUAUCUUCAUUCCUUUAUUGAUCUAAAUAAUGGAAGAGGAGGAUAAAUAUCUUCGGUAUACGUUAUUUCAUUAACUUGAUUUAAUAAAGUUGAUAAAAUGUA
rnacentral:lncRNA from 1 species